rnacentral:rRNA from 1 species
UACGGAGGGGGCUAGCGUUGUUCGGAAUUACUGGGCGUAAAGCGCACGUAGGCGGCUUUGUAAGUUAGAGGUGAAAGCCCAGGGCUCAACCCUGGCAUUGCCUUUAAGACUGCAUCGCUUGAACAUCGGAGAGGUAAGUGGAAUUCCGAGUGUAGAGGUGAAAUUCGUAGAUAUUCGGAAGAACACCAGUGGCGAAGGCGACUUACUGGACGAUUGUUGACGCUGAGGCACGAAGGUCAGGGGAGCAAACGGG